AGCUCCAAUAGCGUAUAUUAAAGUUGUUGCAGUUAAAAAGCUCGUAGUUGGAUUUCUGACAGAGUCAUUUGACCCGUGGUCGCUAAGAUCUACGAGAGUCGGUGUGGCUCAGUCAUCCUUCUAGAAAUUGAUCGCAGCCUUCAUUGGUUGUGGUUAGGAUCUAGAUCUUUUACUUUGAAAAAAUUAGAGUGUUUAAAGCAGGCAAUUGCCUUGAAUACAUUAGCAUGGAAUAAUAACUUAGGACUUUGGUUCUAUUUUGUUGGUUUCUAGGACUAAGGUAAUGAUUGAUAGGGAUAGUUGGGGGUGCUAGUAUUCAGCGGCCAGAGGUGAAAUUCUUGGAUUCGCUGAAGACUAACUUAUGCGAAAGCAUUCACCAAGGAUGUCU
rnacentral:rRNA from 1 species